CUACGGGACGCUCCAGUGAGGAAUAUUGCACAAUGGGGGGAACCCUGAUGCAGCAACGCCGCGUGGAGGAUGACGCAUUUCGGUGUGUAAACUCCUUUUAUAUGUCAAGAAAAUGACGGUAGCAUAUGAAUAAGCACCGGCUAACUCCGUGCCAGCAGCCGCGGUAAUACGGAGGGUGCAAGCGUUACUCGGAAUCACUGGGCGUAAAGGACGCGUAGGCGGGUUGGAAAGUCAGGUGUGAAAUCCUACAGCUUAACUGUAGAACUGCACUUGAAACUGGUAACCUAGAGUAUGGGAGGGGGAGAUGGAAUUAGUGGUGUAGGGGUAAAAUCCGUAGAUAUCACUAGGAAUACCUAAAGCGAAGGCGAUCUCCUGGAACAUAACUGACGCUAAGGCGUGAAAGCGUGGGGAGCAAACAGGAUUAGAUACCCGCGUAGUC
rnacentral:rRNA from 1 species